rnacentral:rRNA from 1 species
AGAGUUUGAUCCUGGCUCAGGAUGAACGCUGGCGGCGUGGAUAAGGCAUGCAAGUCGAGUGGGUUUAGGCCCACGGCAAACGGGUUCGGAAUACAUAGGAAUUUCCCUCAGAGUCGUGAAUAAUUCGGAGAAAUCCGAGCUAAUACACGAUACGCUCUACGGAGUAAAGAUUUAUCGCUUUGAGAUGAGCCUGUGUCCUAUCAGCUUGUUGGUGAGGUAAAAGCCCACCAAGGCUAUGACGGGUAGGGGGUGUGAGAGCAUGACCCCCAACAUUGGAACUGAGACACUGUCCAAACACCUACGGGUGGCUGCAGUCGAGAAUAUUCCACAAUGGACGAAAGUCUGAUGGAGCGACGCCGCGUGCGGGAUGAAGGCCCUCGGGUUGUAAACCGCUUUUUUCAGGGAGCAAUUUCGAUGAGAGUACCUGAAGAAUAAGAGGUUACUAACUCUGUGCCAGCAGUAGCGGUAAUACAGAGACCUCAAGCGUUAUCCGGAUUUAUUGGGCGUAAAGCGCAGGUAGGCGGGUUUAUUAGUCGGAUGUCAAAGACCGGGGCUCAACUCCGGGAAGGCAUUCGAAACGGUAUACCUAGAGAAUGUGAGAGAUGAGUGGAAUUCAUGGUGUAGUAGUGAAAUGCGUUGAUAUCAUGAGGAACACCGAAGGCGAAGGCAACUCAUUGGCACAUUUCUGACGCUGAGCUGCGAAAGCGUGGGGAGCGAAUGGGAUUAGAUACCCCAGUAGUCCACGCUGUAAACGAUGCAUACUAGGUGCAGGGAGAAUCGACCCUUUCUGUGCCGUAGCUAACGCGUUAAGUAUGCCGCCUGGGAAGUACGAGCGCAAGCUUAAAACUCAAAGGAAUAGACGGGGAUCCGCACAAGUGGUGGAGCAUGUGGUUUAAUUCGACGGUAAGCGAGGCACCUCACCAGGGUUUGAAAUCUAGCUGCAGGGCCCAGAAAUGGGACGUCCUUCGAGGGUGCUAGACCAGGUGCUGCAUGGUUGUCGUCAGCUCGUGUCGUAAGAUGUUCCGUUCAGUCGGGAAACGAGCGCAACCCUCAUGAAGUGUUACAUGUGUCACUUCAGACUGCCCCCUCAAAAGGGGAGAAUACUCAGUUUGUAUUCUCAAUUUUUGAGGGGGAGGAAGGCGAGGAUGACGUCAAAUCAGCAUGGCCCUUUGACACCCUGGGCGACACACGUGCUACAAUGGCCGAUAAUAAAGGGUUGCCAACCAGCGAUGGGGAGCUAAUCUCAAAAACUCGGUCUCAGUUCGGAUUGCAGGCUGCAACUCGCCUGCAUGAAGCUGGAAUCACUAGUAAUCGUGAAUCAGCCACGUCACGGUGAAUGCGUUCUCGGAUCUUGUACUCACCGCCCGUCACACCAAGAGAGCCGGCAAUACCAGAAGGCCCUGUUUCAUAUCGGGGACGACGGUAGGGUUGGUAAUAAGGGUGAAGUCGUAACAAGGCAUCCGUAGCGGAAGCUGUGGAUG